CACUUUACCAAAGUACACACAGGUACUUAAUUUCUUAGAACCUGCACUGUGUGGGAGUUUUGCUUGAGACAGAAAGUAUUUUCAUCACCACUGCCCUCUAUCUGUGUAGCACUUAAAGUGUUAUAUAUAUUACAACCUGAUCUCCCUGUUAGAUAGGGAUUACCACUUAAUUUUUAUGGAUCAUGAAAACCUUGUUACUUAACAAGUAGAAGGAGCAAUGAUUUAAACUCAUCUUGGGAUGCCAUCAUGCAGUUCAAAACUAUGACUUCAAUAUAAUAAUGAGAACCAGUUUUUAAAAAAUUAUGUAAAAGCUUGUUCAAAGAUAAUACAUAUUAUACCAAGUAAUACCUGUGUAACUUACAGUAGGAAAAGGAAGUCUGUGGUCUCCUUGAGUCCAUGUGGUUAAAGAGGUAUUUGAUCUUUCAGAGAACAAUGGACUAGAUAUUCUAAGUUACAUUUUAUAGUAGGUAUAUAUCCUUUCACUUGUAUUUGUAUUUGGGUAUUAGAAGUAAUCCAAUUAAGAAGGAUGACCUUUCUAUUAACUCCAACCUCCUCUGUAAAUCUCUUCUACAAUUAUUUUUUAGAAGAGGAGCUUUAUGGCCCAGUAAAUUUUAGCACAUUUAAUUCAGAUGUGAUUCUACAACAAUAAUAAAAAACACCAAAAUGUUGACUACUCUCUCUUUACAGUGUAAACCUAACAAUGCCAAGUUUUAUCCUUUAUGAUGAUCACAGUCCAUGGCGUGCCUCCUCCAGGACUGAAACUUUCCUCUUUCAAAUACCUUCCAUCUCAUAAGCCUUAAUAUCUAAUAUCUAGUUCCUAAAUCAGAACUGUAUCAUCAUCUUACUUCCUCACUAUGGGAGGACAGCAGUUGCUUUUUCAUCCCUUAAGGAAAGGCCCAGGGGUGGGGCACCUGGGUGGGUCAGUAGGCUGAGU